rnacentral:lncRNA from 10 species
ACAUCCCUACAAAGCAGGAAAGUAUGCUUGGGAGAGGCCAAGUGAGUGGGGAAUCAGCCCAAAGCCAGGCGUCCAGGGUCUCCCUCACCUGAAGCUGACUUUUUCCCCACCUUGGACAGAGGGCGGGAGAUGCCAUCCCCACUGAACCCAGUGCUUUCACCAGCCAUAUUAGCUCCCACUCACCCCCCGUCGUGGAAGCCUCGGCCGUCACACCUGCAGGGCCGGGGCGUGCAUGGCCUCAGGGAUGGCCUGUUCAGCUGCUGGGUGACUCGGGUCCAGGUGCCUCACCACCUGCUGAGCUCUGUGUGAUUUCUGGACACUUCUGCUCGUUGCCUUUGGGCUCAGUGAAGAGUCUGGAGUUUAUCUGGAGUGAGGUGGCCGGUUCUUGGUGGGAUCUGAGCAGGUCUCUGCACUCGCUGUUGCCUCUGCCUGGAACAGUCUCCCUCCUGGUGUCAUUGUCUCCGUGGUGUGUCCUUCCUGACCUUCCACCUCCACCAGUCUGUCCCCCUUGGGGACAGGGACUCGUUGCUCAUGUUCACCCGGCAGGCUGGACACUUCGUGGAGGGCUC